rnacentral:misc_RNA from 1 species
AAAUCUUUAUAUUCACUGUGGAUAUCGAAUAAUUUCUUCCAUCUCCACCUCUCUAAAAAUACAUACGUAUAAAUCGUGUUUAAAAAUAUCCAUUCAAAUAAAACUAUUAACUUAUUGUUAAUUGAGUCGAUAAAAUAAAAAGGGGAUGUAAAAUUGGGUAUUUAUUAACUUGAUUAUUAUGCCUAAUCUUCGUAACUAUACCCUCAGCUUGCAGAAGUUCAAAUUCUGCAGAAAGUACAGCACACACGCACGCUAGGAAGAAGAAUCUGCAGAAUGCGCCUAAACCAAUUUCCUCAUGCAAAGGAAGUGCUUUUUAAUCAAGUCGAAAUUCUGUUAACAGAAUCAGGAUUUCCCUUCAGCGACAUCCAAAGGCCACAAAAGGAAAUAAAUAACUCCGCUUUAAUAUCAGCUCCUGAACCUUCCUCCCGGAUCUUGUACAGUUUUCCAUACAUGACAUAUUCAUAUUUGCCAGCUAUGGAUCCUUGCUUGCCCCUGUCAUAGUAACCAGUAUCACCUGUUCCAUCAGCAUGAAGAGUGGCAGUUGUUAGCAAUGCAUACUUCUCUUCUUCUUUAAUGGGAUAAAUCUUCGUAUUCACAUCUAGCUGCAUGAACAUUUCAAGCCUCUAACUUCUUCCAUCUAUCCAAGAAAAUUUGAAGAUGUGCCUUUGACAACAAAACUCCCAUUUUACUAUUAGUCAUUGCCUGCAAGCGAUGCCCAACCGGGAAAUAAAAAAAUGAUACAACUAGAAGAGUAUGCAUGACUCGAUCUGCCCGGAGAGGCGAACAACGCACUCUUCAUUGAGUCAGGAAAUUAGAAGACAAAAUCUUAGAAAUUCAAACUUACUCCGAACAGGAGAUGACAAAAGAUGAAGAAAAAGAAGAAACAAUGGCAGGGAACAUGGACAUUAGCGUGAACAAAAUUCCAGAGAAACCUCCAUGAUCCAUCAACAACCCAAACAUUUAUAUUCACAAUUGUUCCCUCCAAUAUUCUCCCACAAUGACGGGCAUGCUUGCGGGCGGAACCUGAUAAAAGCACAAAAUGCAAAUUCACCAGAAGUUGAAAUGAAAAAUAAACAACAUUUUGCAAGGGCAACAAAGAAAGUUUAAGCACCGAAGUGAUUCUUGUCCCUCCCAUUUCCAUCAGUCCAUGGCCCAUAUGGACACAUUUGCUGUACGAGGCUCAGAUAGGUAAUACACCCUUUUGUAAAUUGACAUGUGAAUGAAAUUCAUUUCGGAAAAAGGCUCAGAAUACAAAUAACAAGAAGUGCAAUACACGUACUAAUACAACAAAAACUAAACUUUAAUCUCAAACUGGUUAGAAUUGGCUAUAUAGACUAAUAACAUAAAUAAAUUAUGCAGUCACUUACCAUGCCAUAAUCUGUAAUUAUCAUGGAACCAUAAUCUCAAGAGGCAUUGCAUCAUUGCUGUAAAUGACAACAUGAUACAAGAGAUGCUGUCAGUUGGGCAACCUGAUAAGUCUCUUGGAUUAUUAAUAAUUUUAUAAGCAUUUACAUCAAAUUCAAAAGCUGCAAAUUUUCACUUUUGGCACAGCCAUCCGAAAAAUUGAUUUCUUCUCCGCCAUGAACUUUCGAAACGGCAUGUAGAUCACCCGCAAGCAACAGAAAUAAUGUGAGCAGAGUAUCUAGUUAGUAGCUAAUUUAUGAAGCAUUUACAAAAACAGAAAUGCUUACCCAGCUCAUUAGAGCAAAUAGAAUCAACCUGUACCCUCUCAAGGACCUUGUAUGCUUAACAACAAACUAAGACUCGUAUGCGGAAUGCAUGGGCAACCAUAGCAACACAUGCAGUCCCAACUCUUGAAUAAACUGUUCCAUUGGAGAGCACAGAUGAUGCACCCAGAAACACUCGAGUAACUUCAUGCAUGAUAUAUGAAACGGCAUUUAUAUGAGUGUAUAUACAGCUGAUACCCUUUCCUACCAUCCUACAAAGGAAGAGAUGCCCUUCAAGCUUUGGACGAGAGUCCACCACCACAACUCGGAACUGUUUGAGAAGCUCGUGGGCAUACAGUAGAACCAUUUCAAUUGCAGAUGAUGAGCCAAAGGUAAGAAGAACAUCACUGUCUCUAAUUUUUGUGACUGCAUACUUGACUAUCACCUUGUCAGCAAGUAUGAUCUUCUCAUUUAUGAAACAAUCAAUAUCUGAAUGGAGAAUCACUUUUGCUUCUGACUCAGACAAAGUCAAAGGUAACUUGGCAAUUCAAUUCUUUAGAAACCUAAUUGCAUUCCCAUGCUGAUUGAAAGGGGCCGGCAUUCAAUGAGAAGAGAAACAUAACUUCCAAUUUUUGCUGUCAAGUCUCUAAUGAGAUUUUUUUUUUCAGGUGGUGUUGAGUAGCCUUUAAUGACCUCUCGGAAUACUAGAAGCAUAGCAAUACAGCGAGCAUUCCCACCACAUACAUCUCCUGAUAAAUACUGUAAAUGAACCUUGUACACAGCUGGACGCAUUGGAUCUAGGUGAAAGAACUUCGACUCGAGAUCAGGAAGCUAAGUUCCAUGCUCAUAUUGAGGUAGAUGCCUGAACAACUCAACCGUGUUCCUAGCUUCAUUUUGUUUUACUACUGCACGCCUUUUUGCCUUCUCCACUCAACUCUUGUCGUCAUAUUGCGUCCGUGGUUGAGGAACAUCUUUGAUUCUUUCUUUCAAUCUUUUUCUGGCAGGGGAUCACUUCCCUUCUUCUCAGAAGGUGCAACUGUAACAUUAUCAUUCUUUUGUGAAGGAGGCUUCGCAGCUUUAGCUGAUUUUGCAUUUGCUGAAGACACAGCCCCAGAUGAAGCAGGAGGUGCCUUGCCACCUUCAGCUAAUAACAACCCAGAAUAGAAAGCCAUAAACAACAUGAAAAGGUUAUCCACAUAUCAUGAGAGAGCAUAAGGAGAUAUAAAGGCAUAUUGAAAACUAAAAAUCAUAAACCAACACAAGCAACUCGUGAUUUGACAACAUAAAAGCCAAGUCAAUGAAGGCAAGAUAAGAAACUCCAUCUUUGCAUGUAGAAAAGAAAAUGGAAGUGUGUAGAGGUGUCCAACCAUGUAAAAUAGGAGUAAAAGCUAAGCCAUUUCAAAAAUUUAAUCAAGUGAAAGCAUGUCAUGAUUUUUUGUCAUUACUUUACAAAAGAAUAAAAUAAUCAUACACCCUUUGCAGCUCAUUGAGCCUCUUGAAGGGCACGCCUUUCAGCUUUAGUCGUUUUCUCCUUCAAUGGCUUUGAAUGUGUAGUUCGGUCAUUUUGAAGUUCUGCUGCCACUCCAGCCUUUUCAGAUAGACCAGGAGGUAAAUUGACCACGGAAACGGUCGUCAAUCCACUUGCUGGAACGCUACUCGCUGCUGGCAUAUCAAAUCCUCCCCCAGGAAAACUACUCGACGCGGCUCCAGCCCUUCCUCCCCUACCCACCCAAGCUACGUCAUCCGAGGAAGAAGUAGCGGCAGUAGGAGAUGUAGCCGGCAUGAAAUCGGAGGCAUUGUAGCUGCCGACGGGGACAGUGUCUCGACGAAGAGGAGACAAGGGGGCAGAGGCGUGACGUGGUGGAGGUAUCAUGACUGGAGAGAGGGAGUUGGCACCGGAGGGAGAGAGGUCGGCUAUUGUUGGAGGCAAAGAGGAGAUAUGGUCAGGUGGGCCAGAUUGGGAUCGGUCAGGUAUGGCGGCUCCGGGAGCAAAGAAGCCGACUUGGCGGACCUUCGGGUCGCUGACGGUGCGUGGUGCUCGCCGAGGGUCCAUGGAGAGGGCAGUUACAGGGACAUGGAAAGGGAAAUGGAAAUCAGAGAGACUGUAUUGCUUUCAAUGGGAAAAUUUGAGGGAUUGGUAGAGUGCGAUUUUCAUUUCCCUAGUGAAGAGGGGUAAUUAGCUAGGGCUUAACGAACAUGGAGAGCAC